rnacentral:rRNA from 1 species
UGGGGAAUAUUGCACAAUGGGCGCAAGCCUGAUGCAGCCAUGCCGCGUGUAUGAAGAAGGCCUUCGGGUUGUAAAGUACUUUCAGCGGGGAGGAAGGUGUUGAGGUUAAUAACCUCAGCAAUUGACGUUACCCGCAGAAGAAGCACCGGCUAACUCCGUGCCAGCAGCCGCGGUAAUACGGAGGGUGCAAGCGUUAAUCGGAAUUACUGGGCGUAAAGCGCACGCAGGCGGUCUGUCAAGUCGGAUGUGAAAUCCCCGGGCUCAACCUGGGAACUGCAUUCGAAACUGGCAGGCUAGAGUCUUGUAGAGGGGGGUAGAAUUCCAGGUGUAGCGGUGAAAUGCGUAGAGAUCUGGAGGAAUACCGGUGGCGAAGGCGGCCCCCUGGACAAAGACUGACGCUCAGGUGCGAAAGCGU